rfam:Schistosoma haematobium scaffold1255_12, whole genome shotgun sequence.
AUCCAGAUGACGAGUCUGAACUAGGGCGAAACACCUGUCCUGGAU